CUGAGAGAAAAAGCAGGAUACCUUUAUUAAAGUGAAAUAAAGCAGCGUUCAUCCAUAAUUCAGAGCUUAAUGCCAUGAUUUCAAAAUGCCACAAAGACUAUCUUGAGUAUUAUUUUAAGCUGUCUUCUUAAGCAUGGUGUUAGUAGCAACAUUUCUGUCUAACUCCAUAGUCUUACCAAGAGCUGCUGCCUUCUACAAUAUCUGAUAACUUGCUGCACUCCUAAAACACCCUCAGCAGGCACUUCUUCCCAACACAACUCACAAGGUACUCUUAUCACAGCAUUCUUCCCUAGUAUUUUGUUUUUCUGCCCUUAUUAAAACAUAAAGUAGGGUAAUAUUCUACCUCAAUUGUUCAGUAAAAAAAUCUUUUUGAAUCUCUCACUACCAUGAUGAAAGAGUAGCCUGGUGAACAGCUGUUGUUGAAGAGAUACAGCUGGCAAAUUUCUUAAGAAUGUUUUUCUCAGAAUACACUUGUUCCUUGAAAUGGAAACAUUUCUUUCCAAGACAGUAUGUACCUGUUUUGAUAAGGCAAGGACUUCUGAUCAGCAAUAGAACUCACCCACGAUUCAUCUGGCCCAUUUAGGAUAUUAAAUCAACAUUUUAUGAUAUCUCCUCUCCUCUCCUCUCCUCUCCUCUCCUCUCCUCUCCUCUCCUCUCCUCUCCUCUCCUCUCCUCUCCUCUCCUCUCCUCUCCUCUCCUCUCCUCUCCUCUCCUCUCCUCUCCUCUCCUCUCCUCUCCUCUCCUCUCCUCUCCUCUCCUCUCCUCUCCUCUCCUCACUGGUUUUUUUGUUUGAUUGUUUUAUGGCAUUUUGUUUGUUGUUGCUUUUCUCCGGGUUUAGAGCAAGAGAACUUAAAGAAUCUUGUAAAACUUCCCUUGGAAGAGAAAACAGUCUCCCAGGCACUUGUGAGUGUUGCAGUACCUGGAAGAGUAGGGAGAAGGAUUUACAUGCUUCUGGAAGGAUCACCUGUAAGGACAGAGCUGACUCAAGAUGGGUGAACUGAACAAAGGUGAGCCUGUGAAACCUUUUUGAAAGUCUUAUGCAUAUGUGUGUCAAUUUAUACCUGGCUGUUAUUGCCAUGUCACACUGCUCUGUGAAUGAGACAUGAGCUGUACCAGCUACAGCCAUGUCAAAUUUAUAGCCACCUGGCUCUAAGAAUAAGGAAUUUGCUCUCUGGGGCCUUGUGUAUUUGUGGGGGGCAGGGGGGUGCAGUAGAGGGACAAGUACGGGGGUAUUAAGAUUAGAGUUGUACGGAAAUUUGACAGUGUUGCACGUCAAAUUCUGCCUUUCUAAGGCAAUGCUAAC
rnacentral:lncRNA from 1 species